AGAGUUUGAUCAUGGCUCAGAACGAACGCUGGCGGCGUGGAUAAGACAUGCAAGUCGAACGAGAUUUUCUUUGGUAGCAAUAUCGAAGAAAGUCUAGUGGCGAACGGGUGCGUAACACGUGGGCAAUCUGCCUUAAAGUGGGGGGAUAGCUCGGCGAAAGCCGAAUUAAUACCGCAUGUGAUCAGGGGAGACAUCUUCCCGAAAUCAAAAGUGGCGCAAGCUACUGCUUUUUGAGGAGCCCGCGGCCUAUCAGCUAGUUGGUGAGGUAAUGGCUCACCAAGGCUCUGACGGGUAGCUGGUCUGAGAGGACGACCAGUCACACUGGAACUGAGACACGGUCCAGACACCUACGGGUGGCAGCAGUCGAGAAUUUUUCUCAAUGGGGGAAACCCUGAAGGAGCGACGCCGCGUGGAGGAUGAAGGUCUUCGGGUUGUAAACUCCUGUCAUUUGGGAACAAGUUGGACGCCGUAACUGCGCGUCCAUUGAUAGUACCAGAAGAGGAAGGGACGGCUAACUCUGUGCCAGCAGCCGCGGUAAUACAGAGGUCUCAAGCGUUGUUCGGAUUCAUUGGGCGUAAAGGGUGUGUAGGUGGCGCGCUAAGUCGGGUGUGAAAUUUCGGAGCUUAACUCCGAAACUGCAUUCGAUACUGGCGUGCUUGAGGACUGGAGAGGAGACUGGAAUUCAUGGUGUAGCAGUGAAAUGCGUAGAGAUCAUGAGGAAGACCAGUGGCGAAGGCGGGUCUCUGGACAGUUCCUGACACUGAGACACGAAGGCCAGGGGAGCAAACGGGAUUAGAUACCCUAGUAGUCC
rnacentral:rRNA from 1 species